CUGGCUCAGGAUGAACGCUAGCUACAGGCUUAACACAUGCAAGUCGAGGGGUAGCAGGGUAGCAAUACCGCUGACGACCGGCGCACGGGUGAGUAACACGUAUCCAACCUUCCCAUAACUCAGGGAUAGCCUUUCGAAAGAAAGAUUAAUACCUGAUAGUACUUUUUCAAGGCAUCUUGAGAAAGUUAAAGAUUUAUUGGUUAUGGAUGGGGAUGCGUUCCAUUAGAUAGUUGGUGAGGUAACGGCUCACCAAGUCUUCGAUGGAUAGGGGUUCUGAGAGGAAGGUCCCCCACAUUGGUACUGAGACACGGACCAAACUCCUACGGGAGGCAGCAGUGAGGAAUAUUGGUCAAUGGGCGAGAGCCUGAACCAGCCAAGUAGCGUGAAGGAUGAAGGUCCUAUGGAUUGUAAACUUCUUUUAUAGUAGAAUAAAGUGAUCCACGUGUGGAUUUUUGUAUGUAUACUAUGAAUAAGGAUCGGCUAACUCCGUGCCAGCAGCCGC
rnacentral:rRNA from 1 species